rnacentral:rRNA from 1 species
UACGUAGGUGACCAGCGUUGUCCGGAUUUACUGGGCGUAAAGAGCGCGCAGGCGGUCGUUUAAGUCGAGUGUGAAAGCCCCCGGCUCAACUGGGGAGGGUCAUUCGAUACUGAUCGACUCGAAGGCAGGAGAGGGAAGCGGAAUUCCCGGUGUAGUGGUGAAAUGCGUAGAUAUCGGGAGGAACACCAGUGGCGAAGGCGGCUUCCUGGCCUGUUCUUGACGCUGAGGCGCGAAAGCUAGGGGAGCAAACGGG